rfam:Triticum aestivum genome assembly, contig: Triticum_aestivum_CS42_TGACv1_scaffold_306808_4AS
AAAGUACUCCCUCCGUCCGAAAAUUAUUGUCUUAGAUUUGUCUAGAUACGGAUGUAUCAAGUCACAUUUUAGUAUUAGAUACAUCUGUAUCUAGACAAAUCUAAGACAAGAAAUUUGGGACAGAGGGAUUAGUUG